AUUGAACGCUGGCGGCAGGCCUAACACAUGCAAGUCGAACGGUAACAGGAAGAAGCUUGCUUCUUUGCUGACGAGUGGCGGACGGGUGAGUAAUGUCUGGGAAACUGCCUGAUGGAGGGGGAUAACUACUGGAAACGGUAGCUAAUACCGCAUAAUGUCGCAAGACCAAAGAGGGGGACCUUCGGGCCUCUUGCCAUCGGAUGUGCCCAGAUGGGAUUAGCUAGUAGGUGGGGUAACGGCUCACCUAGGCGACGAUCCCUAGCUGGUCUGAGAGGAUGACCAGCCACACUGGAACUGAGACACGGUCCAGACUCCUACGGGAGGCAGCAGUGGGGAAUAUUGCACAAUGGGCGCAAGCCUGAUGCAGCUAUGCCGCGUGUAUGAAGAAGGCCUUCGGGUUGUAAAGUACUUUCAGCGGGGAGGAAGGGAGUAAAGUUAAUACCUUUGCUCAUUGACGUUACCAGCAGAAGAAGCACCGGCUAACUCCGUG
rnacentral:rRNA from 1 species